rnacentral:rRNA from 1 species
UCAGACAGCUAGGAUGUUGGCUUAGAAGCAGCCAUCAUUUAAAGAAAGCGUAAUAGCUCACUAGUCGAGUCGGCCUGCGCGGAAGAUGUAACGGGGCUAAGCAAUACACCGAAGCUGCGGCAAUAUCUUUUAGAUAUUGGGUAGGGGAGCGUUCUGUAAGCCGUUGAAGGUGAAUCGUAAGGUUUGCUGGAGGUAUCAGAAGUGCGAAUGCUGACAUGAGUAACGACAAAGGGGGUGAAAAACCUCCUCGCCGGAAGACCAAGGGUUCCUGUCCAACGUUAAUCGGGGCAGGGUGAGUCGACCCCUAAGGUGAGGCCGAAAGGCGUAAUCGAUGGGAAACGGGUUAAUAUUCCCGUACUUCUGACUAUUGCGAUGGGGGGACGGAGAAGGCUAGGUGGGCCAGGCGACGGUUGUCCUGGUUCAAGUGCGUAGGCUUGAGAGUUAGGUAAAUCCGGCUCUCUCUAAGGCUGAGACACGACGUCGAGCUACUACGGUAGUGAAGUCAUUGAUGCCAUGCUUCCAGGAAAAGCCUCUAAGCUUCAGAUAGUCAGGAAUCGUACCCCAAACCGACACAGGUGGUCGGGUAGAGAAUACCAAGGCGCUUGAGAGAACUCGGGUGAAGGAACUAGGCAAAAUGGUACCGUAACUUCGGGAGAAGGUACGCUCUUGAUGGUGAAGUCCCUCGCGGAUGGAGCUGACGAGAGUCGCAGAUACCAGGUGGCUGCAACUGUUUAUUAAAAACACAGCACUGUGCAAAAUCGCAAGAUGACGUAUACGGUGUGACGCCUGCCCGGUGCCGGAAGGUUAAUUGAUGGGGUUAGCGCAAGCGAAGCUCUUGAUCGAAGCCCCGGUAAACGGCGGCCGUAACUAUAACGGUCCUAAGGUAGCGAAAUUCCUUGUCGGGUAAGUUCCGACCUGCACGAAUGGCGUAAUGAUGGCCACGCUGUCUCCACCCGAGACUCAGUGAAAUUGAAAUCGCUGUGAAGAUGCAGUGUACCCGCGGCUAGACGGAAAGACCCCGUGAACCUUUACUACAGCUUGGCACUGAACAUUGAACCUACAUGUGUAGGAUAGGUGGGAGGCUAUGAAGACGUGACGCCAGUUGCGUUGGAGCCGUCCUUGAAAUACCACCCUUGUAUGU